rnacentral:rRNA from 1 species
CUGCUGCCUCCCGUAGGAGUCUGGUCCGUGUCUCAGUACCAGUGUGGGGGACCUUCCUCUCAGAACCCCUACGCAUCGUCGCCACGGUGGGCCGUUACCCCGCCGUCAAGCUAAUGCGCCGCAUGCCCAGCCGCCACCGGAUUCCUCCUUUCGCCCGGACCAGAUGCCCGGUCCGGGCGGCAUGGGGUAUUAGGCCGGGUUUCCCCGGGUUAUCCCCCUGUGGCGGGCAGGUUCCAUACGUGUUACUCACCCGUGCGCCGGUCGCCGGCAGGUGCAGG